UCAUCAGAGUCCCGACCAGAAAUGAAAGGAUGAGUCGCCAAAAAGUUUUGUGAAAAAUUUGGCCAUCCUGGCGUUGACCCGUGCAAAUUUUCGCCUCUGUGACAUUUUCUCCUAGACCCUAUGGUCUUCGGAUGACGCUACAAUCUCGGAAACUAGUCUCUUUUCGCAGAAAAUGCAACAACAGCGCGUAAAAAAAUACAGAAAACCUUCUGAAAAAUGAAAAUAAAGCUCGUGGCAAACCCGUUCAGUUUUUCAUAGCAAAAGUUCAGGGGAAUUUUUUCCACGGAAUAUGCGGCAAAUUUUCGAAGAGCGAAAUAUUUCGGAAAAUGAGCACAUUGAAAAUUUCGUACCGGGACCCAAACAUAUCGUAAAUAUUUUGAAUAAAUAUCGAAAUGAAACUAGAUCCAUCCGAGUAAUAUUGAAAAAGUCGAUUGCGAACGUGCAAUCGAUAUUCGGUCACAUCGGAGAAUCUCGUAAGUAGAUCCUUAUUUUCCGGAGGAUCGGCAGUACGGCCGGAGCAGCCGAAGCGAGCUGGUCAUCGGGAGCGAUGUCGGUGGUAGCGCGUACGUCGGGCUAAGGAUCAAUACGCAGUUACUGUCGUUCUGUUUUGUGGAAGUUUCUCCGAUCGCGUUUUGAACGUGCCUAGAAGAAAAAUCGUACGAAUCUUUUACAUGUGAGCCUGGUGUCCAGUUCUGGUUUAUUGACAACUCGGAAAGUAGUGUUCAGUUUGAUCUACAUGUUUGUAAAAAGUGCUUAACAAUCAGUAGAUACAGAGAGACCUACAUCAUUCGAAGUUUCGUGAAUUCCGUAACUCGGAAAUUUUUCCAUAAGCAAUGGUGCGCAGUAUCUUACUAUCGUGACCAUCACGUGUCGAUGUUCCCGAGCGGUCCGCAAUUCAUCUGAACGAAUUUGAGGUUUUCCGUCUUGGAUUCCACGGCAGUUCAGCUUCGGCCAUAGGAGCGGCGACACCAGGAGCGACGUCAGUAGCAACGCAGGUCCUCCAAAGCAACGAUGGAGAGAGCGAACGGUCGCAGUUCCCUCCAACGUCAUUGACCGGACUUCCCCUGUUCAUCAGGGGGAGUCCAGGGACCCGUCC